CCUUAUCCUGUGUGUAUAAAAUUAAGUCUAGAGUAGUAGUAGUUAGGGUCUUGAAACUCAAAGAAUUUGGCGGUACUGUAGUCUUUUCAGAGGAAUCUGUCCUGUAAUUGAUAAUACNCGNUUUGUUGUACUUUAUNUUGUGUAGUUUGUAUACCGCCGUCAUAAGAUUAUUUUGUUUGAGAGGGNUAAUUUUCUGGAUAUGUAUUGUGUAUAGGAUGUCAGGNCAAGGUGCAGCNUAUAGUGAAGAAGAGAUGGAUUNCAAUAGCUUUAGUUAUAUGGAUNGUGUGGUUUUAAAAGGAAUAUAGGAAAGUGGAUUUGAUUGUAAGUUUAUUAUUGAUAGUCNGGUUUUGGCUCU
rnacentral:rRNA from 1 species